rnacentral:rRNA from 1 species
UUUAUGGAGAGUUUGAUCCUGGCUCAGGAUGAACGCUGGCGGCGUGCCUAAUACAUGCAAGUCGAGCGAACAGACGAGGAGCUUGCUCCUUUGACGUUAGCGGCGGACGGGUGAGUAACACGUAGGUAACCUACCUAUAAGACUGGGAUAACUUCGGGAAACCGGAGCU